UACGGAGGGGGCAAGCGUUGUUCGGAAUUAUUGGGCGUAAAGCGUAUGUAGGCGGCUAAGCAAGUCAGGCGUGCAAGCCCGUGGCUCAACCACGGAAUUGCGUUUGAAACUGCUUAGCUUGAGUACAGGAGAGGAAAGCGGAAUUCCCAGUGUAGCGGUGAAAUGCAUUGAUAUUGGGAAGAACAUCUGUGGCGAAGGCGGCUUUCUGGUCUGUUACUGACGCUGAGAUACGAAAGCCAGGGGAGCGAACAGG
rnacentral:rRNA from 1 species